rnacentral:misc_RNA from 1 species
AAAGUGCCCUGGCCUCGUGCCGGUGGACUACACCUCUACCCUCCUCACGGGGGGCAAUGUGUUAACCAAUUGUGAAACUUAUACCUUUGCUUCGGCAGCGCUCUCAGCCUUUAAACCGCUGGAGAGGUAAGGCUGCCAGAAGCCCACUUUAAAACUAGUUGAUGAAAUGUCAUGCUGUCUGAUAACCAUUAUUUUGAGAAAUCAAAAGAAUUCUAUUA